ACUAAGUACCUCGAAUAAGUGAAAUCAUAUAGUAUUUGUCUUCUGUGUCUGGCUUAGUUCACUUAGCAUAAUGUCCUCAAAGCUCACCUGUGUUGGGAGAUGUGUACACUCUCACUUUUUGUCACAGCAAGAUGCUCCAGCCCACCUUGUACCUACCAUUCCCUCCCUGGAAUCAGCCAUUUCUCCACGGAGCCCUGGUCCCUUCAGUGGGGAACGGUAUUUAGAAACCAAGAUCUGGGCACCAAGCGUGCUUGCUGCUGUUGGGCUAUCAUUACUUCCAGGUCCUUUCAGAAGACAGAGGUAGGAAAUUGUGUGUGUGUGUGUGAAAAAUAUCCCAGAGUUUAAAUUGAUAUCUCCAAUUCAAAUCCAAUACACACAUAACAAAUACAAAUAAUAAUCCAAAAGUGGAGCUAAAACCUAAUAAUAAAAAAAUACUCUAAAAGAAGGCAUGAGACAAGUAAACAAGGGACAAAGAACAGACGGGACACAGAAAUACAGAAAAUAAAUAGCAAGAUAGUAGAUACCCAGCUAUAUUGAUAAUUACAUUAAAUACAAAUGGUCUAAAUAUGCUGAUUAAAAAUCAAUGGGGUCAGCCCAGUAGCAUAGUGGUUAAGUUUGCACACUCCACUUCAGCAGCCUGGGGUUCACAGGUUCAGAUUUCAGUGACAAAGGGUAUUUCAAGACCACAAUAUGGGGUCAAGGGAUGGUCAUUGCUGUGGCUUGGUCACUUUUUCUAGACCUUUCAGCUGAGAGAGCUAGAGGGGAGCUAAAGAUGAUAUAAAUAUAGACGUACAGACAGAUGGAUAUAGAUUAGAUAUAGGUCUGGAUUAGAUUAGAUCUAGAUGCACAAUAUAUAUACGGACUCCCUGGUAACCACUGUUCUUCAUUUCUAUAAUUCUGUCUUUUCAUCAAUGUUAUAUAAAAGGAACCACACAAUGUGUACCCUGUAGAUGGGCUUUAUUCGCUCAGCGUGAUUCUCUGGAGACCUGUCAGGGCUGCGUGUCUCAGUAGUUCAUCCCUUUCUGUUGCGGAGUAGGAUCCACGAUCUGCUGGUGCCACUGUGUGUUUAACCUCACCUGUUGAAGGACAUCUGGAUGGUCCCCAGCUUGGCAUUACAAACACAGAUCCGAGACGACAGAGCUCCAGAAGCUCCUCUCCACUUAUUACACGUGUUUUCUUUCUCCCACACUGAGGAGGACACAGGAGACGUGAGGAUCAGAAGAUCCUAUAAGUACUCAUUUGGUUUUCCCAACAGUAUCAGAAUAGCAAUACUAAUACCAACAACAUGAUCACUAAAAACAGGAAACAUUUUUGUGGCACGUUUCCCAUUCUCCCCUAUCUGUUUCAACAGUUACCAGAGCAUACAGCUGCUCCAUGCUGCACUCGCUCCAUCUUAGCCUCACUUUGCCUUAGCCCUACAGCUAACGCACAUGUAACACCAUCGUCAGUGCUUAAAUUGAUGUCUCCGAUCAUGUUAGCUGUCUGAAGCUCAUUUUCCAGUGGAUUCCUUAAGAAGGGCUCACAGGAACAAGUUCUCAGAAUUCUGAGCUCUCCCAUGUAGAUAAUUUCUCUGUGCCCUGUCAACUUAAAAAGCAAAUUCCCCUGUUAUUUUAUCCGCAGAAUGAGUUUAUUCGGGAAUAGCAAAAAGAAUUGCAGUUCAGAAUGUGCGUGCUCUGGUGAACCACAGACAAAUCCAGGGAACAAAGGAGGGAGCUGCUUUUAUACAGAAAUGGUGGGGGGGGGGCCUCUUCUAAAGGAAGGUUCAUUGGGGGAGAGGAACAGUUCAGCACGGCCAUGGCUUCCCAUUGGCUGAGCUGUGGCAUUUCCCAUUGGCUGAGCUGUGGUGUUUCUCAUUGGCUGUGCUGUUGCCAGGUGGGUAGAGAAGUCUUCCUUCAGCAGUGGCCUGGUCUCCUCCUGGCAGGUAUGAUUGACGAUGUGUGAGGGCUCCCCCUACAGGCCUUCCUGACUCCAAUUUAGUUGAAGUUCCUCUUAUUCGUCUCACAGUCCUUUAUAUUUGAAAGCAAUUUUUCUGGAUUUAAAUUCCCUGGCGCACAUUUUCUGUCUGCAAAUAUCUUAAAAAUAUUAAUCCAUUAUCUCUUGGCAUAAAGUAUUGUCAAAAAGUCUGAUAAGCUAAUAUUUCUCUUAUAAAUAACGUGCUUUUUUUCAAGAUGCCCAAAGGAUUUUUUUCCUUUUUCUUUAAACUCCAGUAAUUUUGCUAGACUGUCUUGGUGUUGGUCAUUCUGGGCCAAUAUAUUCAGGAAUGUGGUGUGCUCUUUCAAUAUGUGGUUUCAAAUCUUUCAUGUUUCAGGAAAGUUUUCAUGAAUGAUAAUUUCCUCCUAGGAUAACAUCUUGCAAAACUACAGUACACUAUCCCAACCAGGACACUGACACUGACACUGCCCAUCCCUGUGGGAUCCCGCGUGCUGCCCUGAGUCUGAGUCGAAUCCCAUGGUAUGAAUGUACCAUAGUUUGUUUAACCAUUCGCCCGUUGUAGGACAUCUGGGUUGUUCCCAGUUUGGGCUGUUACAAAUACAACUGCUAUGAACAUUUGCACACAGAUUGUGUGAACAUAUGUUUUCAUCUCUGGGAUAAAUGCCCAGGAGUACAAUUACUAGGUCAUAUGGCAGUUGCAUGUUUAGUUUUUCAAGAAACUGUCAAACUAUUUUCCAGGGUGGCUGUACCAUUUUACUUCCUACCAGCAAUGCAUGAGGGAUUCAGUUUCUUCCAGUCCUCACCAGCAUUUGGUGUCCUCACUAUUUUUUACGUUAGCCAUUCUGACGGGUGGUUUUCAGUUGCAUUUCCUUAAUGACCAACGAUGUUGACCAUCUUUCAUGUGCUCAUCAGUCGUUGGCACAUCCUGUUCUGUGAGAUGUUUCUUCAUGUCUUUUAUCCUUUUUCUAAUUGGAUUUUUUUUUUACUGUUGAGAUUUGAGAGUUCUUUAUAUAUUAAAGAUACAAGUCCUUUGUCAGACAUGUGGUUUGCAAAGAUUUUCUCCCAGUCUGCAGUUUGCCUUCUCAUCCGCUUAACAGGGUCUUUGGCAGAGCAAAAGUUUUUCAUUUUGAUGAGGUCCAGUUUAACUUUCCUUUGAUGGAUCAUGCUUUUGGUGCCAAGUCUAAGAACUCUGUCUAGCCCCCGAUCCCACGACUUUCUACAAGUUUUGUAAUUUUGUACUUGACCUUUCAGUCUGAGGGACAUUCUAAGUUAACUCUGUGCCGUGUGAGAUUCAGGCUGCAGUUCAGAGGUGUGCCUAAGGAUGUCCCCUUGCUCAGGAGAAAGGGCUUCUGCAGUGGUCUGACUUCUAAAACUGCUCCAACGGGCCCGCUCCCAGUACUCACACUCUUGUGUAAUCCCCUCUUCUUAGAGUGGGCUGGCCAGUGACUUGCUUCUAACCAACAAAAGGGACAGGGUGUCACUUCCAAAAUCAGGUAAUGAGAGACUGUCACUUCCUUCUUGCUGGCAUUCGCUCUUGCUCUCUCUGCCUGCUUGCUCUGAUGAAGCAAGCUGCCAUAUGGAGAAGCCCACCUGGUAAGGAAGGGAGGGCGAUCUCUGGCCGACAGCCUGUGAGGAGCUGAAUCCUGCCCACAACUUCGUGAGUGAGCUUGGAUAUGGAUCCUCCCCAGUUGAGCCUUCAGAGGAGACCCCAGCCACACCUUGAAGAGCCUGAAUGAGAGGACCCAACUAAGUCACAGAAACUGAGACAAUAAAUACCGUUCUCAUAAGCCACUAAGUUUUGGGGAAAUGUGUUAUGCCGCAGUAGAUAACUAAUACAGCCUUGCUCCACCUGCCUUUACCAACGGCAGCCUCUCCUUGGCACUUCUUCCUAAGGAGGGGAGGGAGGUGGCUCUGGAGACUCAAAUUCUGCCUUUUCCCUAAAGAGCACAGCAAGUGCAUUGAUGGCUGUCACAGCCGAAAACCCUUUUCAAAAUCACAUUCGGGGUCAUUGGGGGACAUACUACAUGGCCCUCGCACAGCUUGGUGUUCACAUGGGGGAGUAGCAUGCACUGGGCAGGGCUUCAGGACCCCUCCCUGGGAGACCCGACCACAUCUGGGCCUCCGUGGAGCAGCUAAGCCUCUGUAGUGGACUUCCCACUUCCUAAGUGCCUGCUGUUAUUACUCUUGCCUGAAGCCCAUCCCUAUGCUCCCUGUUAGUGAAGGAAUUAAUGGACGUGCAGGGCUUUGUCAACGCUUUAAAUGGGGCCCUCAGCAACCAUAACAGCUGCCGUUAUGGAGCAUUAUUAAGCGUGUGGCAUUCAUCCUCUCCUUUAAUCCUUAAAGCCAUCCUAUGAGGUAGACGUUAUUAUUCCAGUUUUCUAGACGGGGACGUGAAGGCCCCAUCACACAGCUAAGAGCCGGGAUUGGAUGGCAGGUCUGUGUUCCGCACUCCACAGGCCAGGCAGUGCGCUCUAGGGGCACCGCACACAGUCGGCGCCUCUGGUGGAACGCCAGCCACUGAGCCCUUCGUGCCAACAUUUGAAGACUCUGCUUCCGGGCUCCUAUUCCGAGGGGGUCUUUUUCUGGAAGACUCUACAUGCAUCUUUGAAGUGCAAGUUUUACAAAGUGGCUUAGGUCCAAUUAAAGCCUGCAUGUUAAAAAGCAAACAAAACAACAGCAAUGACAACAAAGCCAAAAAACAAAACAAAACCCAAAACAAAAAACCCUCAAGAUUCUUAAACACAAAGUUAAUAUGCAGACUGAUGAUCAAAAAGGCUCACUUCUCCCCUCCUCCCAAAUACGCACAGAGCCAACCCAAGUCCAAAGAAGACAGCUAACACAUCCAUUUGCAAGUGGCUUCCGGUUUGCCAACUACUGUAACGUGACUUUACCUGGCAGACCUUUCAAACUUGCCCACGUGGGGAAAAAAACAAUCCUGUAACCUCUCCGUUAAUCAGAAGAGCCACCCUCACGGGUCCAGAAAGCCAAAAGUGCAGGCUUCUGGUUCAGGCAGAGGCUGCUGACUCACCCGGCAGGCUCUGUCGACAUCUCCCCACCAAAAGGAUAGCGGAAUCAGCAACUUGAAGGCAGAAGUGCUGAAAAAGAGCACCUGGAGGACAGGAUCCUGAUGGACCAGCAAGAAACAAGAACGGCUUCACAAUGCAUGAAAAAAAGUAAGUUGGGGGAUGUAGGAUGACAACCCUGAUAAGCUGACCACGUCUAUACACAGGAAGAUAGGAAAAUGAAUUAGCAAGGGGAACGAGAUAGCAAUCAGCCUGGAACUGUGAAGAAUUAAUCAUGUUGGACAAACUUAAUUUAGUUCUGACACUUCUUGGUUCGAUGUACAAGAGUCAAGAAUAAAGACAACUCAAUCCUAGCCUAUGGUUAUUUGUAACACAUACAGAAAAUACUAGAUUAUGUUAACAGCAUUAAAAGGCAAGAACUAAAGUCUGAAGAUUGAUUUCCUUGGUGCUUAAGAACAUUUCAAGAAUUUAAAUGUGAAGCAAAAGCUAAGAGCCAGAGUGAUUCUUCCAGACCCUGAGUCAGAUAUCACAGCCUCUGCUUAAGACCUCCGCGGCUGCUGCCUCACCCAGGGGAAAGCUGUAGUCCACACUGUGACACACCCCAACCCCAACUUCACCCAUCACUGCCCCCUCCUCCAGCCAGCCCAGGCUCCUCGCCCUGCUGUAAGACCACCCAGUCCACCCUCUGGCAGGGCCACACACUAUUUACAGUCCUCCCAAAGAAUCCAAGUCUCGUUCCACUACAGCACCAGCCCUAAGUCCAGAAUCUCGUCACUGAAAUUGGCUCUCCUCGGAUGGAGUUCCAUAAGCACAGCUCCUGGUGUGGAGCUGCUCUCAGUCUGAAGACCCUGAACUAAGGAGACAACUUAUCUGCCCUUUGUCCCCCGCCCCCGCCACAUCCCCACACAGUGGACAACGGGCCAGGCCUGGGGUAAGUGCUACAGACACUCUGUCCAAAGAUGGGCGGGCAGAGAGGGGAGGCACAUGGGAGGCACUGGCCACGGCAGUUCCAUCAGCUGUUCUCCAUGCUUCUUGGCUCUGCCUCUGGACUUCUAGUCCCGCCCUCUGAAUUAUCUUUCUUUUUCCAUGAAACGUAGCCUGUGUUUGCAGCUGUGUAGUUUUCUCAGCCUGCUUCCUGCCAGUAGAAUCCUGAGGGUCCAAAGUCUUCUUUCAUUUCAUACUGCCUGUCCCUUUCAGUCCAAACUGGCAGUUUUUGCCAAUAUAAUUCUUUCAAAAGCUUUGAGUCUCCUGUGAAUCUUACUGGGGUUCAAUUCAUUAGACAAAAGUCACAUGCACAGGUCUCCUCAAAUAAGCCCUUCUCUGUUUGGGGCUUCUACUGAGGGACAAGCUCUUAAGCUUCUUAGAAGUCUUAUUGUUUGAUGGAAAGGCUGUCAACAUCCUAAAUUCUUAACAAAGCAUUUUCCAUCCACAGCCUCAGCUUCAUUAUAGAUCGUCUUCCUGGCUGUCCUCUGGAUUUGAUCUUUGCUUCAAAGCCAUUUUUUAAUGUUAGCCUUGUUUGCCAUCUGGAAAGGCUGAGAAUAAUUGAGACCAAAGCAGCAGGAAGCCAGAGGUGCCGUCAGCGCUCUGCCUGGAAAUCCUUACCUACAUCACCCCGUCCAUCAGUCAUACUUUCUAUUUCCCACCACCACACCGCAUGCAACAGUACUGCUACUUCCUGUCACUACAGAGUAAGGGUCUGCUUUGGUGCAGUUCCCAGUAUUCCCACACCUUCCCACCAACCCUCACUGGAAGUCUCCUCAAAGCCCCAAGGCACCAGCUAGCACUCUCCUCACAGCUCUUCAGGCUUUCUCAAGGUCCUUUCAACUCCUGCCCACUGCCCAGCUACAAAGUCUCUCCCCCACUUGAGGAUUGGUUGGCAGUCUAUUCACCACACUCCCACUUCAGGGCCUUUGCAUUCGCUGCCUUCUGGGCUGAAUGUUCUCCCCCGAGAGCACCCGAUUGCUCAGAUGCCACCUUAUCAGGUAUCUCCCAACUGCCCUGUAAAAACUGCAACUUCCCACCACCCAGCCACUCCCCACAUCCGACAGCCUUCUCUACUCUUACCCUUUAAUCUGAUACCGUAUGUUGUCUUCUGUCCCCAUUAGAGUGUGACUGCAGACUUUGGGACACUCAGUCUCCUCCGUGUCCCCAAUGACUGCUAGACUGUGCCUGACACACAGUAUGGGUUCAACAAAUGUGUUAAAUGAGCAAGAAAUGUUUCUGCCCUUUUGAAACAACUUGAACAAAGUUGCCAAAGCUCAUCCCUUGCUUGAAGUGAGUUCAGCAUCACUUCCGAGGGAGCGUCCUUGGGGCGUGUGCCCAUGGCCGUGGCUGGUGGCAAGGUCUGCAGGAGAGCUGUGAGCGUCCAAGUGAAUGACUGCGGAAGGCACGCCAUGGGCAGGGCAGACCCUGGGGACCCAGGUCCAGUGCUCACUGGGCUCCAGGGUAGACUGUGCAGCCCUGGUCUGUCUCAGGAGACAGAGAAAGGCCCUGUCACUCUAGUUGCUCAAUAAGCAUCAAGCCUAGGUCCCCGGCUUCCUAUGUAAGUCUGCCAGGCAUCCACUUCCUUCAACCAGAAGACCCUGGGUCUAAGGAAAGCACACAUCAAAUGUGGCUGGGCCCCGCACUGACCCGAGCUCUGCAUCUGGCUCCAGCUCGAACCAGAUCCCACGUCGGAGCUCUGAACCUAUCAAACGAGGUCCCCUCACAGGGUGCGGUGGGCCUGAUGAGUCUGGUCAUGACUCUUUCACCACCAUGCACCAUCCUCUCCAGCGCCACAUGAUCAAGUCAGAUGCUGACUCGAACCCUCCAAACACAGGAAUCACGGCAGUUAGCCCAUCCAGCAAUGUAAUAAAUCAGUUAAAGAAGGUUCUUUUCUUUUUAUUUUUGCAAUGUCAUUCCAUACAAAAGCAACAGAAACAUAACAGUCUUAACAAGAAGUUUACAAUUGAAUAUUCGAACAGAAAUCUGUACACAUUAUCAUUUACAGCAAUUUUACAUGGAAAAUCGAUUGUAAAAAAAAAAGUUCUUUCUAAAUCCUGCUGCCUUAACUCGGAGUAUUAUGGGUAGAAGGCCUACUGAGUGCUAUUUACAAGUACCAAAUUAAGACUGUAUAACUUACAUAAAAUCCAUUAACAGCUCAAUUUAACGUCUUUGACUAUUCAGUGCUCUAUAUGAGGAAAAAAAAGCCACCUU